AUUGAACGCUGGCGGCAUGCCUUACACAUGCAGGUCGAACGGUAGAGGGGGCAACCCCUUGAGAGUGGCGAACGGGUGAGUAAUGCAUCGGAACGUGCCCAGUCGUGGGGGAUAGCCCGGGGAAACCCGGAUUAAUACCGCAUACGACCUGAGGGUGAAAGCGGGGGACCGAAAGGCCUCGCGCGAUUGGAGCGGCCGAUGUCGGAUUAGGUAGUUGGUGGGGUAAAGGCCUACCAAGCCUGCGAUCCGUAGCUGGUCUGAGAGGACGACCAGCCACACUGGGACUGAGACACGGCCCAGACUCCUACGGGAGGCAGCAGUGGGGAAUUUUGGACAAUGGGGGCAACCCUGAUCCAGCCAUGCCGCGUGCGGGAAGAAGGCCUUCGGGUUGUAAACCGCUUUUGUCAGGGAAGAAAUGUCCUGGGCUAAUAACCUGGGGGGAUGACGGUACCUGAAGAAUAAGCACCGGCUAACUACGUGCCAGCAGCCGCCGCCG
rnacentral:rRNA from 1 species